rnacentral:tRNA from 1 species
ACCUGGGUGGCUUAGUUGGUUAAGCAUCUGACUUCAGAUCUCCUGGUCCGUGGGUUUGAGCCCUACUUCAGGCU